GACCGCGCCCUCGCCUGGGAGGCGGGGCGGGCCGGGUUCUCUCUGUGACGUCACAAAGGCCCCGCCAUGCCUCUGGCUUUGACCCUUCUGCUGCUCUCGGGCUUGGGCGCCCCCGGAGGCUGGGGCUGCCUGCAGUGCGACCCCUUGGUGCUGGAGGCCCUGGGUCACCUGCGCUCCGCCCUCAUCCCCAGUCGCUUCCAGUUGGAGCAGCUGCAGGCGCGCGCCGGGGCCGUGCUGAUGGGCAUGGAGGGGCCUUUCUUCCGGGACUACGCGCUGAACGUGUUUGUGGGGAAAGUGGAGACAAAUCAACUGGACCUUGUGGCGUCCUUUGUCAAGAACCAAACGCAGCACUUAAUGGGUAACUCUCUGAAAGAUGAGCCUCUGCUGGAAGAGCUGGUGACCCUCAGGGCGAAUGUGAUCAAGGAACUCAAGAAAGUUUUAAUUUCAUAUGAAUUAAAAGCCUGCAACCCCAAACUUUGCCGCUUGCUAAAAGAAGAGGUGUUGGACUGUUUACAUUGCCAGAGGAUCACUCCCAAGUGUAUCCACAAAAAGUACUGCUUUGGUAAGCUUCUGGGGGUGGGGGAAGACAUGGGACAGGCAUGCAAGAGAUGAAGACAGCCAUGACCCACUAGAUAUGGGUUUCGAGGCUCCCACAUGCAGCCUCGAAUCCUGCCCUAACCAUUUGCUUAGAGUGUGGCCCAGAAGUUGCUCCUGUAUUCUGAGAUUCACUUUCCUCCAUCUGUUAAAUGGAAAGACUCCCUGGAACUUUAGAAUGCCCCUAGCUCCAGAAUGGCAGGUGCUAGAAAAAGAUUUUAUUCUUAGCCAUUGCUGUACCUGAGGAAUUUGGAAGGAAGUGCUGAAUUCACUCAUUCAUUCAUUCAUAAAUCUAAAAAACAUACAUUCUUUUUUUUUUUUUUUUUUUUGAUAUGGAUUCUCGCCCAGGCUGGAGUACAAUGGCAGGAUCUUGGCUCACUGCAACCUCUGCCUCCCAGGAGAAUCGCUUGAAUAUAGGAGGUGGAGGCUGCAGUGAGCCAAGAUCGCACCAUUGCACUCCAGCUUGGGUGACAAUGCGAGACUCCAUCUCAAAAAAAAAAAAAAAAGUAUAAUGAAUCCACAUCUAUCUAUCCGGGUUGAAUAGUCAUGCUGGAUCUUUUCACAUGCUGUUCCCUCUCUCUGUCACACUGUUGCAAUCACUCCUUCACUUCAUUUGGGUCUCAAAGGUCACUUCCUCAGACAGGCCUCUCUGAUCAUAAUCUCAAAAGUAGCACUUACUAUCAAAUUAUGUUAACAAUUAACAUUCUUCCAUAUUUAUUUCACCUACUUUAUUCUUUGCCAUAGUAUGUUAAAAGAAACCACAGACACCAUGCCCCAUACAUAGCAUGUACCUCUAAAAAUAAUGACAUUUUCCUAAGUAGCCACAAUGUCGUUCCCACACCCACCAAACCUAGCAAUGAUUCCUCAAUGUCAAAUAAUUCCAGGUCCCACUGUCAACUUCCUUAAUUGUCCCCAGAAUAUUUUUCACAGUUGAUUUGUUCAAACCAGGGUUCAAUGAAAGGACUUCUUAUAUCAUUCAAUUGUUAGGUUUUUCUCUUCUUUUUAAAAUCUAGAACAGUUUUUGUUUUGUUUUGUUUUGUUUUUUUAGACUGAUUCUUGCCAUGUUGGCCAGGCUGGUCUCAAACUCCUGGGCUCAAAUGAUUCGCCCACCUCAGCCUCCCAAAGUGCUGGGAUUACAGGCAUGAGUCACUGCAGCCGGCCUAGAACAGUUUCUCUUAUCAGUUUUUGGGUUUUUUUUUUUUUCCCCUCCAUGACAUUGGCAUUGAAAAAGAAGGGAGUGUGUCCUAUAGAGUGUCCCACUUUUGGAUUUGCCUGUUUGCUUCCUUUGGCUGGUAUUUGGUGACAACAAAUAUUUUGAGCACCCUACGAUGUCCCAAACUGAGGAACAGUGGAAUGGGAGACAGAUGUAGCUCCUGCCCUCAUGGAGCCCACAUUUUAGUGGGGCCAGAGGUUACACUAGGGUUUCUCAACCUCAGCACUGUUGAGAUUUGGAGCUGGAUCAUUCUUUGUUAGGGAGGCUGUCCUGGUUAUUGUAGGAUGUUUAGCAACAUCCCUAGCUUCGAUCCACCAGAUGCCAGUAGCAUCUCCCUCCCCAUUAUGACAAUCAGAAAUGUCCCCAGACAUUUCCAAAUGUCCCUUAAGUGACAAAAUUAUCCCAGAUUGAGAACCACUGGGUUAGAUGGUAAUUGCAUGAACAAAUAAACAGGCUUGAUCCAGAUGGCAAUGGUGUUCUAAUGAAAAUAGAAUGGUUUGGUAGAUAGUGCCUGGGGGAGGCUGCUACUUUAGAAAAUACGGAUGUAGGGCACCUCUAAAGAGGUGACUUUUGAAAGCUGAAGGAAGUAAGCAAGUGAUGGGAACAGUGUCAAUGACAGAGGGAACAGCACAUGCAAAGAUCCAACAUAAUUAAGCAACAAGGAGGAGAAGGCCAGUGUGGCCAGAGCUGAGUGAAUGAAAGAGAAUAGUAGGGUGGCUAGAACAAUGGCCGGGUCACGUGGGAACCAGAUGAUGCAGGGCUUGCAAGAGCAUGGUGAGAACUUGAGCUUUUAUUCUGAGAUGGGGGGCCAUGGAGUAGCAGGAAGACACUGAGCAGAGGGAGCCGACUUAGGUUUUAACAGCGCCUCCCGGAGGCCAUGUGAGGAACUGUGGGAGGAGGGGUCAAGGGAGCCUCCUAAGAGAAGCAGUGGGCUGGGGUUGGACCUGCUUGGUAGCCAUGGAAGUGGAUUGGAUUCUGCCUACAGUUUGAAGGUCAAGCCAAGAGGCUUUGCUGAUAGAAGGAAAGAGUUGGUGGUGCGAGGCAAGUGGAAGAUGCAGAAAGCAACUCCCAAGGCCACCUUCAGGGCCAAUAGCUAAGAUGCAGCAACUAAGACUUUCAUCUUGUGAAACUGUUCGCAUUUUGCACCUCCCUCUCAUGUGCAUGGUGUCUCUGGUUUUUGUUUUGUUUUGUUUUCUGAGACAGGGUCUUGCUCUGUCCCCCAGGCUGGGAUGCAGUGGCACAGUCACGGCUCACUGCAGCCUCAACCUCCUGUGCUCAAGCAAUCCUCCCACCUCAGCCUCCUGAGUUGCUAGGACUACAGGCUCGUGCCACCAUACCUAGCUAAUUUUUUCUUUUUUGUAGAGAUAGGAUCUCACAGCCCGUGCUGACUUGAACUCCUGGGCUGAAGUGAUCCCCCUGCCUCAGCUUCCCAAAGUACCGGGAUUAUAGGCGCGAGCUCACCAUGCCUGACCAUUGUAUCGUAUCUUUUGGUUUUGAGUCAAACUUCCCAAGUCCUCCUCACCCCACCCCAUCCCAUCAAAUGAAAUGCUUUUAGAACUA